GAAGGGCAGCUGGCACAGCAAACUCCAGUUCCAUGGCAGGAUCCUGCCCUGUCCUUGGGGCUGGAGCUCUGGGAGCUGUAGGAGCAGCAGUGUGGGGGAGGGAUGUGCUGUGUCCCCUCACAGCUCAGGGAAGGGCCCGGGUGUUCCCUGUCCCUGGGCUGGGAAAAGGGGAGCUGCCAUGUCAUGGGGGGACAGACUGGGGGUCUCCCAUGUCCCCAGCCCAUCCCAGGGGACCCACCAGUGGCCUGGGACAGGGAUCCUGGGGUGCUGCAGCCACCCUGGUGCUUCCAGGGGGAGGGACCCUGGGGUGCAACAUCCCUCCUUGCCUCCUUAGCUGUCCUGGUCCUGCCAGCAGCCAAAUCCUCUGGAUUCCACUCCCACUAACUCAGCCUUUGGUGCCAAUUUCUCCUCAAAAGAGUCCUCAGGGAAAACGUGCCCUGGGCAGAACCUGUCCCUGCUGGGAGGGAUCCGGGUGCUGCUGGGAUGGAGGGAACUGGAUGGGAAAGGGAGAGUUUGUCCCAGGAGUGUCUGAAAUGCUUCCCAAGGGUACAAGUGUUGGCUCCGCCAGGGAAGAGCCUGGACCCUGCUCCCAGUUUGGAAAGGUUGAAUUAAGUGGUGCCUCUGGAAUAACAGGGAUGGCUCCAGGGUGAGACCUGGAUUCCCACAACACCAGAGGGAGAUGGUGCCUCCUGCUUUGGCUUUGCUGCUCAGGCUGAGGGGAUGAUCCCUGUUCUCCCUCUGCCUCGUGCUCUCCUGGAGGAUGAAGAGACCUGGAAUAGAUCCCAGGUGUGGUGGGGAUCAAUGUGGGAUCCAGCUGGGAGACAGGGAUCAGGGUGGGGUCCCAGAUGGGAGCGGGGGAACAAGGUGGGAUCCAGUUGGGAGCACAGAGAUCCACUGUCCAUGGAUCCCCUGAUCCACCCGUACCUGACGGAGGAGAACAAGGAAGCAGCUGCCCGGGAGCACAUCCAGGAGCUGCCAAACGAGUCCCCUGUGUCACUGUCACCCUCAGCAGGUCUCCUGCUGCAAUUCUUCCCCUGCUCCCUCCAGUCCCUCUCCCUCCUCCUCCUCCUCCUCCCUCCCUCAGACCUUCCCCCCCAUCCCUCCCUCCCUCUUCCCUCUCUUCCUUCAGCCAAUAUCCCUGAAAUAAAGGUAAAUCCCUGUUUGAGGCAGGACUCUGGUGGCUGUUGGUGUUGGGCUGGGCAGUGCUUGGAGAUCAGAACAUCCUUGGGUUUAAAAUUAAAACAAAAUUAAUAAAUCCCUUCA